GAUGAAGAACGCAGCGAAAUGCGAUAAGUAUGUGAAUUGCAGAAUUCAGUGAAUCAUCGAAUCUUUGAACGCACAUUGCGCCCGCCAGUAUUCUGGCGGGCAUGCCUGUUCGAGCGUCAUUACAACCCUCAGGCCCCCGGGCCUGGCGUUGGGGAUCGGCGGAGCCCCCCGUGGGCACACGCCGUCCCCCAAAUGCAGUGGCGGUCCCGCCGCAGCUUCCAUCGCGUAGUAGCUAACACCUCGCGACUGGAGAGCGGCGCGGCCACGCCGUAAAACACCCAACUCUUCUGAAGUUGACCUCGAAUCAGGUAGGAAUACCCGCUGAACUUAAGCAUAUCAAUAAGCGGAGGA
rnacentral:misc_RNA from 1 species